CGCGGCCUAUCAGCUUGUUGGUGGGGUGAUGGCCUACCAAGGCGUCGACGGGUCGCCGGCCUGAGAGGGCGACCGGCCACACUGGGACUGAGACACGGCCCGGACUCCUACGGGAGGCAGCAGUGGGGAAUAUUGCACAAUGGGCGAAAGCCUGAUGCAGCGACGCCGCGUGAGGGAUGACGGCCUUCGGGUUGUAAACCUCUUUCAGCAGGGAAGAAGGCCUUCGGGUGGACGGUACCUGCAGAAGAAGCGCCGGCUAACUACGUGCCAGCAGCCGCGGUAAUACGUAGGGCGCAAGCGUUGUCCGGAAUUAUUGGGCGUAAAGAGCUCGUAGGCGGUUUGUCGCGUCUGGUGUGAAAUCCCGAGGCUCAACCUCGGGCUUGCAUCGGGUACGGGCAGACUAGAGUACUGUAGGGGAGACUGGAAUUCCUGGUGUAGCGGUGGAAUGCGCAGAUAUCAGGAGGAACACCGAUGGCGAGGGCAGGUCUCUGGGCAGUUACUGACGCUGAGGAGCGAAAGCAUGGGGAGCGAACAGGAUUAGAUACCCUGGUAGUCCAUGCCGUAAACGUUGGGCACUAGGUGUGGGGCCCAUUCCACGAGUUCCGUGCCGCAGCUAACGCAUUAAGUGCCCCGCCUGGGGAGUACGG
rnacentral:rRNA from 1 species